rnacentral:rRNA from 1 species
CCUACGGGUGGCAGCAGUGAGGAAUAUUGGUCAAUGGCCGGAAGCCUGAACCAGCCAAGUCGCGUGAAGGAAGAAGGCUCUAUGGUUUUUAAACUUCUUUUAUAGGGGAAUAAAGGUAUCCACGUGUGGAUAUUUGCAUGUACCCUAUGAAUAAGCAUCGGCUCACUCCGUGCCAGCAGCCGCGGUAAUACGGAGGAUGCGAGCGUUAUCCGGAUUUAUUGGGUUUAAAGGGUGCGUAGGUUGUUUGUUAAGUCAGCGGUGAAAGUUUGUGGCUCAACCAUACAAUUGCCGUUGAAACUGGAAGACUUGAGUGUGUUUAAGGUAGGCGGAAUGCGUGGUGUAGCGGUGAAAUGCAUAGAUAUCACGAAGAACUCCGAUUGCGAAGGCAGCUUACUAGGCCAUAACUGACACUGAAGCACGAAAGCGUGGGGAUCAAACAGGAUUAGAUACCCUAGUAGUC